AUCGAACGCUGGCGGCAGGCUUAACACAUGCAAGUCGAGCGGGCCCUUCGGGGUCAGCGGCAGACUGGUGAGUAACACGUGGGAACGUACCCUUUGGUUCGGAAUAACGCUGGGAAACUAGCGCUAAUACCGGAUACGCCCUUUUGGGGAAAGGCUUGCUGCCGAAGGAUCGGCCUGCGUCUGAUUAGCUAGUUGGUGGGGUAAUGGCCUACCAAGGCGACGAUCAGUAGCUGGUCUGAGAGGAUGAUCAGCCACACUGGUACUGAGACACGGCCCAGACUAUUACGGGAGGCAGGAGUGGGGAAUAUUGGACAGUGGGCGGAAGCAUGAUCCAGCCAUGCCGCGUGAGUGAUGAAGGCCUUAGGGUUGUAAAGCUCUUUUGUACGGGACGAUAAUGACGGUACCGGAAGAAUAAGCCCCGGCUAACUUCGUG
rnacentral:rRNA from 1 species